rnacentral:tRNA from 2 species
AGCCUGCUUAGCUCAGAGGUUAGAGCAUCGCAUUUGUAA